CCCUUAGAUGUUCUGGGCCGCACGCGCGCUACACUGAUGCAUUCAACGAGUCUAAAACCUGGUCUGAUAGGGCUGGGUAGUCUUUUGAAUGUGCAUCGUGAUUGGGAUAGAUGAUUGCAAUUCUUCAUCUUCAACGAGGAAUGCCUAGUAAACGCAAGUCAUCAGCUUGCAUUGAUUACGUCCCUGCCCUUUGUACACACCGCCCGUCGCUCCUACCGAUUGAAUGUUCCGAUGAAUACCAUGGACUGAGAGUAUGAAUGGGUUCGCCUAUUUCUGCUUCUCGGGAAGUGGAGUAAAUCUUAACAUUUAGAGGAAGGAGAAGUCGUAACA
rnacentral:rRNA from 1 species